CGGAGGGAAACCGAGUCUUAAUUGGGCGUUAAGUUGCAGGGUAUAGACCCGAAACCCGGUGAUCUAGCCAUGGGCAGGUUGAAGGUUGGGUAACACUAACUGGAGGACCGAACCGACUAAUGUUGAAAAAUUAGCGGAUGACCUGUGGCUGGGGGUGAAAGGCCAAUCAAACCGGGAGAUAGCUGGUUCUCCCCGAAAGCUAUUUAGGUAGCGCCUCGUGAAUUCAUCUCCGGGGGUAGAGCACUGUUUCGGCCAGGGGGCCAUCCCGGCUUACCAAUCCGAUGCAAACUGCGAAUACCGGAGAAUGUUAUCACGGGAGACACACGGCGGGUGCUAACGUCCGUCGUGAAGAGGGAAACAACCCAGACCGCCAGCUAAGGUCCCAAAGUCAUGGUUAAGUGGGAAACGAUGUGGGAAGGCCCAGACAGCCAGGAUGUUGGCUUAGAAGCAGCCAUCAUUUAAAGAAAGCGUAAUAGCUCACUGGUCGAGUCGGCCUGCGCGGAAGAUGUAACGGGGCUAAACCAU
rnacentral:rRNA from 1 species